rnacentral:tRNA from 2 species
GGUCCCAUCGAAUAAAUGGCUAGUUCACCGGGCUUUCAAUCCGGAAAUGCUGGGUUCGAGUCCCGCUGGGAUCA